AUAAACGCUGGCGGCGUGCUUAACACAUGCAAGUCGAACGAAGUUUUUCUUUCGGGAGGAACUUAGUGGCGGACGGGUGAGUAACGCGUGGGUAACCUGCCCUGUACAGGGGGACAACAGCUGGAAACGGCUGCUAAUACCGCAUAAGCCCUUAGCACUGCAUGGUGCAUAGGGAAAAGGAGCAAUCCGGUACAGGAUGGACCCGCGUCUGAUUAGCCAGUUGGCAGGGUAACGGCCUACCAAAGCGACGAUCAGUAGCCGAUCUGAGAGGAUGUACGGCCACAUUGGGACUGAGACACGGCCCAGACUCCUACGGGAGGCAGCAGUGGGGAAUAUUGCACAAUGGAGGAAACUCUGAUGCAGCGACGCCGCGUGAGUGAAGAAGUAUUUCGGUAUGUAAAGCUCUAUCAGCAGGAAAGAAAAUGACGGUACCUGACUAAGAAGCACCGGCUAAAUACG
rnacentral:rRNA from 1 species